rnacentral:rRNA from 1 species
UACGUAGGUGGCAAGCGUUGUCCGGAAUUAUUGGGCGUAAAGCGCGCGCAGGCGGCCUUUUAAGUCUGAUGUGAAAGCCCACGGCUCAACCGUGGAAGGUCAUUGGAAACUGAAAGGCUUGAGUACAGAAGAGGAAAGCGGAAUUCCACGUGUAGCGGUGAAAUGCGUAGAGAUGUGGAGGAACGCCAGUGGCGAAGGCGGCUUUCUGGUCUGUAACUGACGCUGAGGCGCGAAAGCGUGGGGAGCAAACAGG